UACGGAGGGGGCAAGCGUUGCCCGGAAUCACUGGGCGUAAAGGGCACGUAGGCGGCUUCGUAAGUCAGGGGUGAAAGCCCACGGCUCAACCCUAGAACUGCCCUUGAUACUGAUGAUCUUGAGUCCGGGAGAGGUGAGUGGAACUCCGAGUGUAGAGGUGAAACUCGUAGAUAUACGGAGGAACACCAGUGGCGAAGGCGGCUGACUGGACCGGUACUGACGCUGAGGCACGAAAGCGUGGGGAGCAAACAGG
rnacentral:rRNA from 1 species